UUCGUAGGCGGUGUGGCAAGUUGGGAGUGAAAUCUCUGGGCUCAACCCAGAGGCUGCCUCCAAAACUGCCAUGCUUGAGUGUGGGAGAGGCGCGUGGAAUUGCAGGUGUAGCGGUGAAAUGCGUAGAUAUCUGCAGGAACACCCGUGGCGAAAGCGGCGCGCUGGACCACUACUGACGCUGAGGAACAAAGCUAGGGAGCAAACA
rnacentral:rRNA from 1 species